ensembl:lncRNA
GGCUUCUGGCAUGGGUCACAGCAAGUCUGGCAUGGAUCACAGCAAGGCUUCUGGCACGGGUCACAGCAGACGGUCUUCUGGCAUGGGUCACAGCAGACGGUCUUCUGGCACGGGUCACAGCAAACGGUCUUCUGGCACGGGUCACAGCAAGUCUGGCACGGGUCACAGCAGACGGUCUUCUGGCACGGGUCACAGCAAGUCUGGCACGGGUCACAGCAAGGCUUCUGGCACGGGUCACAGCAGACAGUCUUCUCACAGCAGACAGUCUUCUGACACGGGUCACAGCAGACUGUCUUCUGACAGGGGCUGCAGC